UACGUAGGGGGGCUAGCGUUGUCCGGAAUCAUUGGGCGUAAAGCGCGUGUAGGCGGUCCGGUAAGUCCGCUGUGAAAGUCGGGGGGCUCAACCCUCGAAUGCCGGUGGAUACUGUCGGGCUAGAGUGCGGAAGAGGCGAGUGGAAUUCCUGGUGUAGCGGUGAAAUGCGCAGAUAUCAGGAGGAACACCGGUGGCGAAGGCGGGUCUCUGGGCCGAUACUGACGCUGGAGGAGCGAAAGCGUGGGGAGCAAACGGG
rnacentral:rRNA from 1 species